UUUCAUAUUAAAAAAAAAUGUGAUUGGUCAGGCUGAGAUCCUCAUCAACCACAUGAUAUGGCUGGGAGAGGUGUGUGGUUGUGUUCCUCACUCCCUGACUUAAUGUUCAAUCUGAAUUGUUGUAGGAGUUGGGCUCCAUUGAUUUACAGUGGAGCCUGUCUGGAGCCCAGAUGCACACAUUUUAUCUUCCCAGACAACCUCUGUGUUCAGAAAGUACUGUAUCUUAGUGCUGUUAUUCUGUUUAGAAGUAGCUUCACCAAAUAAUUAUAAUGUUUUUUUUAGUUUUUUUUACUAUUAGAGGCAAGACCUGAAGUUCCUUGGCCACCAAUGCAAAAUCUGUACAAAGUUAGGAUAGUAAGUAUUGUAAAUCUCACGAAAAAUGAGUUUUUGAUCUCUACUGAUCACAAGAACACAAGGGAUCCAUUUCACCAGGAUGCCAUUGUCAAUUCUUUGAUAUGUCAAGAAUUGAAGCGCAGGCCCAUCCACAAUGCCACAAUGGUUGGACCUGAAUGAUCACAAAUGGAUGACAUAGCCUAACAAGAUGGCAUAAAAAACAAUGUAUCAUAUGUUAAAUUUUUGUUUCUUGUAUUGGAUAUAAAUUUGUUGAAA